rnacentral:rRNA from 1 species
UACGUAGGGUGCAAGCGUUGUCCGGAAUUACUGGGCGUAAAGCGUGCGUAGGCGGUUCGUUAAGUUCGUUGUGAAAGCCCCGGGCUCAACCUGGGAAUGGCAAUGGAAACUGGCGGGCUGGAGUAUGGCAGAGGGGGGUGGAAUUCCGCGUGUAGCAGUGAAAUGCGUAGAGAUGCGGAGGAACACCGAUGGCGAAGGCAGCCCCCUGGGCCAAUACUGACGCUCAGGCACGAAAGCGUGGGGAGCAAACAGG